rnacentral:lncRNA from 1 species
CAGGCGGAAGGGAAGGAGGGGAACCCGCCCUCCCCGGCCGCCGCCCAACGACUCAGCGGGAUAAGCAGUCUGUGCUGGCGACUUGAAAUCAAAACCGCAGACCAUCUGGGAACCCAUCGGUAUUUUCAGCUGUCUAGUGAGCGCUUUCACCUGUGCAUCCUGCAGACACUUCAAAUCCCACGUGUCCAAAUCAUGCUAUAUUCUCUCGAUAGAAGUAGCCAAUUCACAGUGCAACACCCUGGGCUUACACCCUGCAUCUAAUAUCUGUUCUCUCUGGAGUAUCUACCUCUCUGCAUCCAUUUUCCUGCAGAUCACUCAAGUUUAAAGAUGGCCAAUAAAUACAUGAAAAAAUGUUCAAUAUUGCUGGCCAUCAGAGAGACUCAAAUAAAAACAACAUUGAGAUUCCAUCUUGCCCCAGAAAGAAUGGCUAUCAUCAAGACAUCGAAUAACACCAAAUGCUGGUGGGGCUUUGGAGGGCAGGGGGCUUCUGCACUGUUGGUGGGAGUGUACAACCACAGUGGAGAUCUAUGUAGAGAUUUCCCAAAAUCUCAAACUAAAAAUUCAAUUUGAGCCAGCUAUUCUCCCAGG